UUAUUGGGCGUAAGGGCUCGUAGGUGGUUGAUCGCGUCGGAAGUGUAAUCUUGGGGCUUAACCCUGAGCGUGCUUUCGAUACGGGUUGACUUGAGGAAGGUAGGGGAGAAUGGAAUUCCUGGUGGAGCGGUGGAAUGCGCAGAUAUCAGGAGGAACACCAGUGGCGAAGGCGGUUCUCUGGGCCUUUCCUGACGCUGAGGAGCGAAAGCGUGGGGAGCGAACAGGCUUAGAUACCCUGGUAGUCCACGCUGUAAACGGUGGGUACUAGGUGUGGGGUCCAUUCCACGGGUUCCGUGCCGUAGCUAACGCUUUAAGUACCCCGCCUGGGGAGUACGGCCGCAAGGCUAAAACUCAAAGGAAUUGACGGGGCCCCGCGCAAGCGGCGGAGCAUGCGGAUUAAUUCGAUGCAACGCGUAGAACCCUACCUGGGUUUGACAUGGAUCGGGAGUGCUCAGAGAUGGGUGUGCCUCUUUUGGGGUCGGUUCACAGGUGGUGCAUGGCUGUCGUCAGCUCGUGUCGUGAGAUGUUGGGUUAAGUCCCGCAACGAGCGCAACCCUUGUUCACUGUUGCCAGCACGUUAUGGUGGGGACUCAGUGGAGACCGCCGGGGUCAACUCGGAGGAAGGUGGGGAUGACGUCAAGUCAUCAUGCCCCUUAUGUCCAGGGCUUCACGCAUGCUACAAUGGCUGGUACAGAGAGUGGCGAGCCUGUGAGGGUGAGCGAAUCUCGGAAAGCCGGUCUCAGUUCGGAUUGGGGUCUGCAACUCGACCUCAUGAAGUC
rnacentral:rRNA from 1 species